UAAAACUUGAAUGGUUUUUCUAUGUGAACUUUUAUGCUAAGUUAAACAUUCUCGAACUUAAUUCCUUUGUUGAAUGCGUAGACUGAUCAUCGAACAAAAUGUUUCUAUGAAUUGAAUUUAAGUUAAGAAACAACAUAAAAUUUUAAAACAUAGCUUUUCUACAUUUGAAAACACAAACCAAAAUAUUAAAACAUAUCUUGAAAGCCAAAACUUAAACUCCAAAACUCUAACAUAGUUUUUCUACAUCUGAAAACACAAACCAAAAUAUUAAAACAUAUCUCAAAACCAAAACUUAAACUCCAAAACUAAAACAUAGGUUGAAUAAAAUGUUUUCAUAAAUUUUAUAAUAUAUUUAAAUAUUUUAUUCAUGUAUUCUGAAUAAUUUUAAAUUUAAAAAAAAUAAAAAAAUAUUAUUAUUUUAUUCCUAUGAACUCCUUCUUCGGGUUCACUAAUGCAGAAAACAACAAAUUCGGGUUCAUAACUGUUCAUGGACCCACAAAAAAAUAUUAAAAAAAUUUGGUGAACCCCAAAGUGGCGUUCACCAAUGCUCAUGCUCUAAAGGUACCCACAUGAAUUCUGAAGACCAUAACUCAAAUAAAUUAAAAACGAGAGCAAGUAGAUGAAAACAUGUAUUAAAAAUUUAGAUAAUUUAAUUUUAAGUAUAUGAUUAAAAUUUUGCUAGGAUGCAAAAUGAUACUUGACAAGACAAGACAAUGGUGUGUGUGUGUGUGUUAUUGCAUGUGAAGAGAUGUGACGUUGACUUCAAUGACUUGACCCCUCAAUCUCUUGCUCUCUCUCUGUCUCUCUGCUCCUCCUCUCUUAUUUCUCUUCUU
rnacentral:lncRNA from 1 species